UACAGAACUGUGAUGUUCUGAAAGACGCGUUUAAGCCCAACAGUCUCAUUGAAUAAUAUACUGCCCUCCCUAACGAGACCUACCCAAACAUCAGAAGGAAUGCAAUGAAGAUGUCCACACUUUUUGGCAGCACGUAUAUCUGUGAGCAAACCAUUUCACGCAUGAAACUGAUGAAAAAUCCGAUGAGAUCAAGACUCACUGAUGAACAUUUGCAUCAGUCUUUGAGACUGGCUGUGACUGGAAUGGAACCUGACAUUGGACUUCUCACCAGGCAGAAACAAGCCCAUAGUUCACACUGAUUAGCCUAAUACGCAUGAACGUCGAACCUGUUUGAGCACAGGUUGUAGGUUCAUAUACAGUCGGUGGCUGUUGCUGAGCAGUUGCAGGAGAUGUUGUGAACGCAGAGGGCAGCCAGUGUAGUAGAUGAGCUUUCUGGCUGAGGGCAAACCAUCAGGAAGAAUCUCAAACCUCUUCCCCUGUGAAAAAGAAUACAGGUGAACAGUUCAGAUUCAGGAGGUACAUGCCCACCUCGACUGCACAUCCUAGCACAGAAACCGAUUGUGUGGAGCAGUGCACGCUUAUUCAUUACACGCAAUGCAUGUCCCAGGCAUAAUAAACACGAGUGUGGAUUUGCUGUAUGGAGAAUGGAGACUUCCCCACAAGCUGUGAACCAUGUGUGCAAGAGAUGCAGGAAAGCUUCUUCUCUUCGCAUCACCCGAAAACUCUUACUCACUGUCAUCUGAAACAGUCAGUCAAAAGAAAAAACGUGCGAGAGAGACCGAGCAUGUGCGCUCGAGACUGAAUGGAAGCCAGAGAAAAUUAUAGUUCCAAGAUUUUAAACUUCAGCAAAUUAAACUUCAGCAUUCAAUUUGUUUUAUAUCCAUGUUGUAUGUAUACUAUCUAAUAAUGCAUUGGCAAUGUACACUGAAGUUCUCUUGCAAAUAAAGAUUGAUAUGAAUUAAAUCUGCCAAUUUGAUCCUACUAGUGAAAAAGUCCACUGAAACAUGACAUAAUAUUUUGCCAACUUAUAAUUACAGCAUGUCCACUGAUAUUAUGACAUGUAUACUGUACAUAAACUUGCAUUAAAAAUGUAUACCUGUAAAAAUGUGUCUAACUAACUCAAUCCACAAUUUCUUUUUAACAUGUUCAUUUUUAAAUAAUUAAAUUAAAUGAU